rnacentral:rRNA from 1 species
UGGGGAAUAUUGGACAAUGGGCGCAAGCCUGAUCCAGCCAUGCCGCGUGAGUGAUGAAGGCCCUAGGGUUGUAAAGCUCUUUCACCGGUGAAGAUAAUGACGGUAACCGGAGAAGAAGCCCCGGCUAACUUCGUGCCAGCAGCCGCGGUAAUACGAAGGGGGCUAGCGUUGUUCGGAUUUACUGGGCGUAAAGCGCACGUAGGCGGACUUUUAAGUCAGGGGUGAAAUCCCGGGGCUCAACCCCGGAACUGCCUUUGAUACUGGAAGUCUUGAGUCUGGUAGAGGUGAGUGGAAUUCCGAGUGUAGAGGUGAAAUUCGUAGAUAUUCGGAGGAACACCAGUGGCGAAGGCGGCUCACUGGACCAUUACUGACGCUGAGGUGCGAAAGCGUGGGGAGCAAACAG